rnacentral:rRNA from 1 species
UGGGGAAUAUUGGACAAUGGGCGAAAGCCUGAUCCAGCCAUGCCGCGUGUGUGAAGAAGGUCUUCGGAUUGUAAAGCACUUUAAGUUGGGAGGAAGGGCAGUAAGCGAAUACCUUGCUGUUUUGAUGUUACCGACAGAAUAAGCACCGGCUAACUCUGUGCCAGCAGCCGCGGUAAUACAGAGGGUGCAAGCGUUAAUCGGAAUUACUGGGCGUAAAGCGCGCGUAGGUGGUUCGUUAAGUUGAAUGUGAAAGCCCCGGGCUCAACCUGGGAACUGCAUCCAAAACUGGCGAGCUAGAGUAGGGCAGAGGGUGGUGGAAUUUCCUGUGUAGCGGUGAAAUGCGUAGAUAUAGGAAGGAACACCAGUGGCGAAGGCGACCACCUGGGCUCAUACUGACACUGAGGUGCGAAAGCGUGGGGGGCAAACAGG